GGCUUUGGAUAAAAGCC
rnacentral:misc_RNA from 1 species